AGAGAGGGAGAGAGGAGAUUGAUUCAUCCAACUCUUGAUUUGUAGUGAUUUCUACUUCCAGUUAGAGCCAUAGAGCAUUUCUACUCUUCAGCUGUGGCAAUAGGGAAGAAAUGGCGAAUGGAAGUCAGGUGUAGAAUGUAAAUUACUUUCUAAAACAGACAUACACACACACGAUCAAUGUUAGAGCCAAAUUUGGGGGACCUCAAAAUUUGGAAUCUGUUGGAGUACAUAUUUUUCACUAUUGAUGCAUGCUAUAUCAUUCUGUCAACAAAUAUUUUAAAAGCACCAUGUAAGCAAGAGGAACUGAUGCAGAGUGGUUUCAGCUGACUGAGAGCCAGACUGUUCCACCAAACCCGGGCUUCUCAGCCACAUCAAGCAACCUUGGGAAAACACUGUGGUCUGCAAAGGCAACAUUCCCUCACUGGCAAAAUGAAGAUAGAAACACUGCCUAAAGUGAACUAAAUGAAAGAACCUGUUUUGUGUGCAUGGUAAGUGCUCAAUAAAUAUUCCUCAUUAGCGUGAUCUUGUACCAGGCAAUAACCUUAACCAGACUCUUGUUACUACAUGAAAAUUCUUGUGUUCAUCUAUGGUAGACUCAGAUUUGUAUUCUUCACAGUGGCCCUUGGAAAUGUUUCAGCCAAUUUAUGUUACCAUUCUUGUGAGACCUUACCAUUCCAGAUGGUGAGAUCUUGGAGGGCCGGGAUUACAUCUUAUUUAUUCUUGGAUUUCCCAGAUGGGCAGAUAGAUUCUAUACACUGAAAACAUUUACUUAGUAAAUGUGGGAAGUUCAACAAGUAUUUAUUGAGUGCAUUGUCAUUAUUUAACAUUUAGUUUCAUUGAAUAGGAAAGACAUACAUCAAAUGAUAAAAUAAUACAAAUGGGAAGACGAUGAAGCCAAAGCCAUGUACAGAAAAUAAAGGCUGUGGUCAUUUCUGUAUUCCUUUUUCUGUUACUUAUAACAGCAUACUUGAAACUGGGUAAUUUAUAAAGACACAGAAUAUAUUUCUUACUGUUACAGAGGCUGAGAAGUCCAAGGUCAAGGGACCAUAUCUAGUGAGGGUCUUUUUGCUGAGGACUCUACAGAGUCCUGAGAUGAGGUGGUGCAGGGCCUCACACAAUGAGAGGGCUGAGUGUGCUAGCUCAGGUCUCUCCUCUUUUUAUGUAGCCACCACUCCCACUCUCAUGAUGACCCAUUAACCCACAAAUGGAUUAACAUAUUCAUGAGGGGACGACCCUCAUGACCCAAUCACCUCUUAAAAGCUGCACUGCUCAAAGUUUAUGCAAAUAUAAGAGUUUUUCACUAAAAAGGAGAGGUCAUUAAAGAUGGGUGGAGUGUGGGUGUUGUCACCAGUGUCCAGGAGGUAAGGGACAAUAUUUUGGAAAGGACAAUCAAAAUCCUUUUUUAUUCACAUUUCCUUUGCUCUUCACAAAAGAUCCAGAGAGACAUUAAAGUAUGUUUUUUUUUAAGGGGUCAACUUUUUCUUCUUUGUUCCCCGCCCCCUUUAUUUAGUAGAUCAGAUUUAUGGCUGUGUCUCUUCUUAAAAGUUCCAUCUUGUUUUAUGGCAGUUUUCCCAUCAUCCCUCCUCGCAGUAGAUGUGAAGCUGUUAUUUAAAGACUUAUUCCUAGAGGUAUCAAAAUGUUAUAGAUAGCAGAAAACAUUGGAAAAGGAUGAUAUGGAAUCAAAUUUGGGGAUUGAAAUGUAUCAGAGAAGGGCAAUUAACAUGAAAAGCUGGCUCUCUGGGGCUCAACUGCCUGAACUUAAUCUUGAUUUCACUAUUUAUCAGCUGCAUGAUCUUAGGGCAAAUGAUUUACCAAGCUGUGCCUCAAUUUCCUCAUCUAUAAAACAAUAAUAAUAAUAUUACCUAGCGUUGCUGAGUUUUGUGAGGAUGUAAAUGAGCUAAUAAAUGUAAAGUACCUUGAAAAGUGACUGGAGAAUGAGAAAUGCUUAUUAAAAGUUAGCUAUUAUUAUUUUUCUUGUAAUUAUUAUUUAUAUAGAGUGCUAUACUUCUUUCAUAAAAAUAUAAUUAAUUCCUCAGGAAAUUAAAACACUGAGUUUGAGUCAUGUGAGUGAGUAAUAAACAUGGGAAAAAACUAAGUCUUCUGAUUCCCAGUUUCAUCUGCUUCCCACCCACCGUACCACGAUGGGAUAGAAGAAAAAGUCAGAAACUUACUGAAGAAAGGAGGCAUACAGGAUAUGUACAGUUUGCUCUGUUGAAAAUCGUGAUUGUUUUAGUCCCCAGGUUAGGUCCGAUCAACAGAUGGUUCAAUUCAACACAGUAGAAAGAAGUUGUGUUUUGUUUUCUCUUUUCAUUGUUCUCUAUAUGCUAAGCAAAUCCUAAUGUCUCCGGAAGUUUGCAUUGCCUUUAAGGGAUCUUCAUUUUCUUUCCACCUCUUGGAGAUUGUUGUUUCUUUCCCAACCUUAGUACUUGAAUUGAAGAGACACCAUUGUUUGCAAUAGCGAUUUAUUUGAUAUUUUGCCCUUAAUUCUAGUCUUGAACAAGUUUUUGUUUGCUGUGUUUGGUACGCUCAUGUGUUGAUCCUGCAUCUUUCCAUUGAACAUCAACAAGGAAACCUUUCUGUGCUGAAUAUCUAUCUGCAAGUAGAAAGAUCCCCAAGAUCUUACUUUAAAUGAAAGCUGUGAGAAACAUGACAUAUCCUGAGUUCUGUCCAGAUUUACUUUGAAGAUGUAUGAAGAAUGCAGGGAUAGACACCAUCACUCACGCCUUGUUAUGUUUUAAGCUCCCCUCUUUGGCAUAUUUAAGUUGGGGAAGAGGUGAUUAUCCUGGAUCAGAACGUUUGUCAAGGGUGUGUUCUUGAUUUGUUCUGCGAAACAAGCUUUUAGCAAGGGAAGAGUGUGUCAGUAUGAAGAACUUAAGAGAGGUGCGCCCUUGAGCCUCUGGUGAACUCUGUUCAGUGAAGUGAACAGAUGGGAAACCCUGUUACUCUUUCAAGUCAAGGUCUUUCCACUCUGACUAAAUGGUCUCUCACCACUAGAGCAAGGAGUCAAAACUCUUACACUCUGAAGAGCUUCAGGCUUUUUUCUUGAUCCUUAAGGUCCAGCUUUAGUGACUGGAAAUAUAUGGCUUUUCAAUACUUUCAAAAAAGUGUUCUGAAAGGGAAAUUAAACUCUGAAAUCCAUAUUGUUUUGCAAUUUUUACUCUUCUACAAGAAUAUUACCUGUGUAGCUAGCUGGAGCCUAUAUUUUAGAAAAUAGGCGAAAGAAGAUUGGAGGGGCUUAAUGGACCCAGAAAGGUUACCUGGGUCCUGAAAUUUCUCCCCCUUCAGCCCUAAAGCUCCUUUUAUCUUAAAUUGCAUGAAGUUCCGCUAAUAAGCUUUUCACUAAGUUGUGUGAGUGUCUUUCCUAAAAACUCAGUGGAUCUCCGAUAGGGACGUUAAAGAAGAAUGUUCAGAGUUCACACACCUUAGUGUGCCCUGGUUUCAUUAGAUGGCUUCCUUCACCUAUAGCCAGGGCACCAAAUAACAGGAGAAGAGUGGAUAAUUUUAUAGCAAGGACCAGUUAGAAAGGAAUGAUCCUACGGGAAGCACUGGCGUUAAAGUACUUUUACCUAUUAAGUAGGGCAUAGCUAUGACAAAACAAAGCUAAACAUUUCUAAAGAAGAAGACAGAGCAGAGGGUGAGAGGUGGAGCUUAGGUGUGAGUGGGAGGGGGUAGGGAGUAAGUAAAAAUAAACGAAUUUCUUUCUAAUACCCACCCACUCAUUUUCCUCUAAUAUCUACCCACUCAUUUUCCAAGUGUGGUUGACUUUAAAAUUGUAUCUCUAGAGGAACUGUGAUCCUAUGUGUUGCUAGUGCAACAGUCUACUUCCAACAGCUCAGAACAUUGUCUUGUUUGCAGCAGGCGUUAACAGACAAAAGAUUGGGGUAGAUGGUAUUUUUAAUGGAAGCUACAGCCUUAUUAGAUUUUUCAAAAGUCUACUUAGACUUGAAUCUUUUUUCAAAAAUCUAUUCUAAUGAAAUAAUCUGCAUUUUAAAAUUCAACCAACACAGAUACUGAAGGCAAAUAUAAAAUGUGUAUAUUAAUAUAAAUACAUGAGAUUAUCUUAAAAUUAGUAUUACAAAGCUAUAAAAAGUUUAAAGUAGCAUAAUACUAAGUUAUGUUUGGGAAAGUCAUCUUAUAGUCUCUUUUGAGGCUCAUAAAAAUUAAUUAUCCUUAGUCAUAAUUUUUUUUCCUAAUUUAAUUUCUCCAAGUCGUUGAAAAUGUAGUUUUAAAAUAAGGUCAAGUCAAAAAUAUUAUUCGGUAAUACGUACUAGAUAACAACUGAUGUAUACCCAGAGAGAGCUGAUAGCCCAAAUGUGAAAGAGUGGAGUUUCUUGAACGUAUAUAAGAAUUACCUGGGACAGUUUUUUAAAAGGAGGUUCUGACUUAGAUCUGGGAUGAAAUCUAAGAUUCUUUAUUUCUAGUAAGCUCCCAGGUGAUGUAGAUGCUGCUGGUCAGACGACCAGCGAGGGGACGGAGACUCAUGCAUUAGUGAUUAUCAGGUAAACAAGGAGCACCUUAAUCUCUUCACCCCAUCACCUCUAUGUUUACCAACCAGUAGAGACCUCUUUAAGUAUAUAGUAAAUUCUGUGUAAUAUGAAGACUCUGAGAAACAUACAUUGUUCAAAGGCACCCAAGUAAGUCCUUGGAAACCAGGUGAUGUUGUAAGCAUUUGAAAGUCUGAUAGCUCAGCAGCCAUGCCUGGGGUGCCCUAGCCUGGAUUACCUUUUGAUGAUAGGGGAAGUUAGUUUAAUUGUUAAUGGAAUUGCCUUCCCCGAUCUGCACCCUUACAUUAAUAUUUGUUUUGAAAAGCACUAUAUCAUUAUAAGUACACUUUAUUGUGUGUAAUUUCCACCUCCUCUUCCUCCUCCUCUUUUUAUGUUUUUGCAACAGCUGUGUGCAGUAAAUUAUCAUUUAUUAUUAUUACUAAUUGCAAUUUACAAAGGAGGAGUUGAGGCUUAGAGAAAGAUCUGUGAGUGCCAGAUCACAUAUCACUGGAGAAGUUCCGGAGCUAAGCCUAGUUCUAAUGGGCUCUGGUAUUCUUCACACACGAAACAAUCCUUCCACCAUUCCUUUCACUGCCAAUUAUGGCUACGUAAAAAGAAAUAGGAAAAAACAGUAUGCACACAUUCCUUUCUUUUUUGUGACUUUUUUGUUUAAAUCAUGAUGUGUCUCUGUGACCGAACCAAGAGGUUUGAUUUGCUCUCCGAAAGGCACUACUUCCAUAUUCGACCAGCAGGGGGCACUAUGGCAUAGGAAUUCAGCUUUGCUUGCUGAUUACGGUUGCAAGGGCUGUUUCCCACCCCCACAUUCUAUGCAGUUUUUUUUAAUUGUUUUCACUAGGUCCUUACUUACAUUUAUUAGAUUGGCAGAUGAUAUUCAUCAUUGGAAACAGUUCACCAUACUUUACAUUUAAGCAUAGGUUUUUACCUUUUUUUUAAUGUAAAAAAAGUUGUGGAAAAAAAUUAUACCUGAUGUAGCAAAUAAGUCUACCUUAAAAACCAAAAAAUGGUUUCUCUUGUAUCCAUGAUUUUAGAAUUAAAAGAUGUAUUAAAUUAGUGGCAAAAAGACACGAAGGCUCUGUUACUUUGAUCCCUUGGUACCUAGAGCAAAUGUUUGUCACACUUACUUUUCUGCUACAGAUUAAUUCUAUUUUCCAAACACAGGAAUAGAUAAAAGAAGACAAGCUAUGCUAGCCUGAGUUCCUCUGCAUUCUUAUUUUCCACAGAUUCCAUCAGAAUAAAAGGCUGCUGUUCUAGGCAGGUCCAGGUUGAGCCGCUUCUUGCAUCAAACCUUCAGUUCACUCUCCUGGGACUUUUCUGUUCCUUUCCAGGUCAAUAGGGGAAUAGAACCCACCUCCCUAAGAGUGAAAUAAUCUGAACUAGGGCUUCCAGGAAGUGAAAAGUCUGGCUGGUUGGCAUUAUUAUUUCCAGCUUUACAUAUAGCAAGAUCUUGCAAUAUCAGGAAGGGCUGUUAGGAAAAUCAACGUGAUUGUGUUUUAAGUUGCUUCUAAAUGAGGUGGUUUGUUUUAUUUUUUUUUUUAUUGUAAACAACAAAAUAAAAUAAAAUUCCAACCAUAGGCUCUUCUGGGAACUUGCCUACCCCAAAAUGGUCUCAAUAUGGAAUAUUGCUCCAUCCUUUCCUAUGCCUUGCCUUUGCCUUUUGUUUGCCGUUAGCUAUUAAUAUAACCAAUUAAAGACAUCUCACAUAGGAUUCCAGCUGACUUCAUCUAGUAAAGUUCUCUGUCUCCCCUUGGGGUACCCCUAGUCAUACUGUGGAAGGGAGUCAAAUCUAGAAGGAAUCUUAGAAAUGUUUGUUUUAUGGGCCGCUAAAGUCCUUUCCCUCCCCUAUCUCACCAGUGAAGAAGCCAGGUCCCCAAUUAUCACGCCAUUUGCCAAAGGACACAUUUCUACUUUCAGGGAGAGACUGGAACAUCUCCGACUACAGUUACUGUUACUCUUGGGCAGUCAUUUUUCAAACCAUUAUCAAUAUUGGUAUUGAUUCAGACACAUACAUUAGGAAUAAUUUUACUAGCAGGCCUUCCUAUCUUAAGGUGUAGACUUAAAAAUAUUCCCAUUUUAGCAGCAAAAAACUCAUUAAUGUAGGCAUCUUCCCAAAUUGAGUGUGAAUGAGGAACCUGCAGUCUAAACAAAAUGCUUGGUAUCAAAUAUGAGCAUGUUGUGAUAACAUGACCAAAAAUAUCUUUAAAAAAUCAUGGAAGAAAAUUUAGAUUUUAGAUGUCACAUUGGUUAACCCACUUUUCUGCGUAUCAGAAGAGGUCCACAGUAUUUCAUUAUUAGAGCAGUCACUUCUCAGUGUAGUUCACAGGCAUCGCUGCUCUGGAAUUUUGCGUUAAGGUGAUCACACAGCGCUAUGACAUGAACAGAGACGUCUUGCAGAGCAUCAACCCACCUGUAUGAAAUAGCACCACGAAAUGCCGUUGGUUAAUCAAUUGCAGACCUAUCAUCUUUAUAUUUCUUAAACAUAUUCAUAUCUUCAGUUUCUACCAAGUCUUAUAAAAACAUAUACUUCCUGAAUGCAAAACAUUCCUCUUUGUUUGCCCAAAACACGCUUUUUUUUUUUUUUUUUCAGUUUCAGCGUUCAGAAUUCAGUGUUCAGAAUUCUAGCAGAUACUUUCUUGAUAAGUUUACAGAUUUUCAUCAGAACCUUACUUGUCUACACUGACCUGGCUGUUAGUGUAUUCCAAUUUCAUUAGGCCAGUGGACCCUUUUUAAUGUCCUUAUUUAGGGAAUGAUUACUUUUUUGAACCAGCUGGAUUAUAAGUAAAUCCUGUCCAAAGGCAGUGUCCAUUAGUCUAAUGACCACAUGCCUUGCAAGUGGAAACGUUUUUUGGACUUCUCUAUAAUGGGAAGAUGACUAUAUGUAUGGUGAUUAGCAGAAGCUCCUUCCCAGUUUUAUCUGCUAUGAUAAAUUAUUUACAUUUUCACAAAGAUGCAUAUGUCUGAGGUUUCAUGUGUAUCCUACACAUAUCUAUGUUAUCCACAAUACUGUUUUUUUUUCCAUUGCCUGACAUAAUAAUCUUCACUCUAUUUUUAGUUUUCUCUUUUUUUAUUUGAAUGCGAUUUCAGUGCUUGAAUAACAUUGGAUUCAAAUAGCAUACCCUUUUUUGUUACCUGACUUUAUCAGACGUACUUUCUCAAAAGAAAAUAAUGUGAAUACUAAGAUAAUGAGCAUGGUAGCCAUUAAGCUUUAGUAGAGGGAGAAAUUUUAAAAUUCCUUUAUGUUUGAAUCUAUGAAAAGGGUGGCCUUAGUGGAAAUGCAAAAUAAUGCAGAUUUGCUAAACAGUUCUACAUGUAAUGGGAGUUAUUGUGGAAACUCAGCCAAUAAAUCAAUCGCACUUAAGAGGGGAAAACAGCCUAAGAAUCCAUGUUCCUGAAAAAUGUCAGAGCCUCUGAAACUUGUGUGUGUGAAAAGCAAUGUUUUAACUAAAUAUGAUAAUGAUUUUUUCAACAUCCUUCCUUUCUAAUGUGAAAUAACUAAUAAUGUACUCACAUUGUCUGUAAGACUGAGGCUUGUUCUGAGUGUACCAAAGCUGUCUUUUAAGAACAUUGCAAGGUUUUGUUUUGCAAUUUUACUGUAUUUACUGGUCAAUUAAUUGCAAUUAGAAUGGGACUUCUUUAUAUAACCUUUCAUACAGAAAUGAUUCUGUUACUAUAAUGGAAAAAGAGUCAUUAACGCCAGUAAAAGAGAGAAUGAAGUUUUUAAAGAUAAAGAAUAAAUCUCUUACACUUCCACCAUUCUAAACAGAACAGAUCUCCUUUGAGCCUAUCCUUUUUACUGACACUAGCCAGAAAGCAACUGUGGAUGAAGGGCUUUCUAGAUAAAUUCUUAAAUCAAAAAGUGUUGGGAAACUCAGAUUUACAAAAGAGAGAAACAUUAGCAGCUUGUGUCCCGGUCAAGACAAGGCCAGUGAACUCCUUGAUACACUUCAUGCCCUCAUCUAUAACAUGGCUUAAUAAUAGUACCUACUGGCUGCUGUUAGUAUUGAAGGAGCCAAUGUAUGCAAGCCAAUCACUUAACAAAUGUCCGUUGUUCUGUUUGUCAUUUUUUGCUUAUACUUCCUGACAACAACCAGAAACCUUAGAAUAGCGAACUCUUCACUUUAGGGAAGGCUAAGUCAGCGUUAGGUGUUUCCAUCUUAAAGCGCACGAGCCAGACUGGGCAGAGCAGCAGCAUCACCGAUUGCCACUCUCAUAACUGUCUGGCUAAGAUUCCCAUGUCGUUUGUGGUGUUAACUACAAAAUGCAUCGACCAAAUUAUCCCCACGGUUUCUUCACAGGGUCAGAAUGACACAGAAAGUAGAGUAGGCCCAGUGAUCUGAUACCACAGAGCCAGAACUCUCAGCAGAAUACACAGUAGGGUCCUUGCAUAGGGUCUCCUGAAGACCUGAGACCAUUUUUCAGGAGAGAGUUAGGAGUAGAUCCUGCUGCUUCUUAAAAAGAAUCUAGGAUAGUAGAUUCCACUUCUUCCCUUCUCCUGUCCAGGUUUCACGUGAGCUUGCAAGAACCUAUCAACCCUCAACAACUUUGACCUUAAGUCCAAAUCUUAAAGAGAUGAAAAUUCUCCUCUUCUAUGAAAAAUUGUUGAGAAAGCUGCUCUGGAAGAUGUAAGAAAAUAAUUGAUAGUUUUUUUUCCUGUUUUACUUGAGAAAUUCUCUUACAUUUCUGAAUCGGAAUGCUUAGUCCUCCAGAAUGUUUGAGUGCCAUGUUCAGUAUUUUGGCUCUUCACCUGAGAGUGUAUGAGUCCCUUUAUGAUUAUACUUUUAUACUUACUAUCUUGCCUUGUGAUGCCUCACGCACACACUAGGUUAGAAAGCACUUGAGCAAAGCAGGCAUAGCGUUGUUAACAGCAUACAAGCUCUCAUUUUUUUACAAUUCCUCAUAACGCAUUCCGAAAACAAAGCAAAAAAACCCAAAAGUCUUGAUAA